CGGUUGUGUUAUUUCCACCCUCUAUUUCUUUUCCCCUCUUAUAUAAAAAAUUUGGGAGGGGGGGGGAAAAGGCCCCCCCCAGAGAAAAAAAUUUUUGGGGGUUUAAAAAAAUUUUUUUUUUUAAAUUUUUUUUUUAUUUUUUGACCAUCUCCUUUUUAAUAAAAUUAAAAAAUUUCCGGGGGGGUUAAAAAGAGGGGGCCCUGGGGUUUUUUUUUAAUUUUUGUUGGGGGGGGUAAAGAAGUUCCCCCAAAGUUUCGAUAAGAAUAGGGGGCCCUGAAAGGGGGGUUUCCCCCCCCCUGGGUAUGAAGACCCGGACCAAAAUUCUUCGGGGGGGCCACCAGUGGGGAAUAUUCCACAAUGGAGGGAAAUUUUGAUGCAGCCCAUGCCGCGGGCCAGGAUGACGGCCCUUACGGGGUGUAAAACUGUUUUUUUACAAGAAGAAACCUCGGUUACGUGUCCCAACUUGACGGUAUGUUAAGAAUAGCACCGGGCUAAUUCCGUGCCAGCAGCCGCGGUAAUACGGAGGGUGCAAGCGUUAUCCGGAUUUAUUAGGUUUAAAGGGUUCGCAGGCGGAAUUUUAAGUCAGUGGUGAAAGCCUACAGCUCAACUGUAGAACUGCCAUUGAAACUGAUAUUCUUGAGUAUAGAUGAAGUGGGCGGAAUAUGUCAUGUAGCGGUGAAAUGCAUAGAUAUGACAUGGAACACCAAUUGCGAAGGCAGCUCACUAAACUAUUACUGACGCUCAUGAACGAAAGCGUGGGGAGCGAACAGGAUUAGAUACCCUGGUAGUCCACGCCGUAAACUAUGAUCACUAGAUGUUGGCGAUACACUGUCAGUGUUUUAGAGAAAUCGUUAAGUGAUCCACCUGGGGAGUGCGUUCGCAAGAAUGAAACUCAAAGGAAUUGACGGGGGCCCGCACAAGCGGAGGAACAUGUGGUUUAAUUCGAUGAUACGCGAGGAACCUUACCAAGGCUUAAAUGUAGAUUGACAGACUGUGAAAACAGUUUUUCUUCGGACAAUUUACAAGGUGCUGCAUGGUUGUCGUCAGCUCGUGCCGUGAGGUGUCGGGUUAGGUCCCAUAACGAGCGCAACCCCUAUUUUUAGUUGCCAGCGAGUAAUGUCGGGAACUCUAGAAAGACUGCCUGUGUAAACAGUGAGGAAGGUGGGGAUGACGUCAAAUCAUCACGGCCCUUAUGUCUUGGGCUACACACGUGUUACAAUGGUUACUACAGUGGGCUGCCAUCUGGCAACAGAGAGCAAAUCCAUAAAGGUAAUCCCAGUUCGGAUCGGAGUCUGCAACUCGACUCUGUGAAGUUGGAUUCGCUAGUAAUCGUAUAUCAGCAAUGAUAGUCUGGAAUCGCCCCC
rnacentral:rRNA from 1 species